GAUGAACGCUGGCGGCGUGCCUAAUACAUGCAAGUCGAGCGAACGGACGAGAAGCUUGCUUCUCUGAUGUUAGCGGCGGACGGGUGAGUAACACGUGGAUAACCUACCUAUAAGACUGGGAUAACUUCGGGAAACCGGAGCUAAUACCGGAUAAUAUUUUGAACCGCAUGGUUCAAAAGUGAAAGACGGUCUUGCUGUCACUUAUAGAUGGAUCCGCGCUGCAUUAGCUAGUUGGUAAGGUAACGGCUUACCAAGGCAACGAUGCAUAGCCGACCUGAGAGGGUCAUCGGCCAGACUGGAACUGAGGCACGGUCCAAACUCCUACAGGAGGCAGCAGUAGGGAAUCUUCCGCGAUGGGCGAAAGCCUGACGGUGCAAAGCCGCGUGAGUGAUGAAGGUCUUCGGAUCGUAAAACUCUGUUAUUAGGGAAGAACAAAUGUGUAAGUAACUGUGCACAUCUUGACGGUACCUAAUCAGAAAGCCACGGCUAACUACGUG
rnacentral:rRNA from 1 species